rnacentral:rRNA from 1 species
GACGAACGCUGGCGGCGUGCUUAACACAUGCAAGUCGAGCGGUAAGGCCCUUUCGGGGGUACACGAGCGGCGAACGGGUGAGUAACACGUGGGUGACCUGCCCUCAGCUCUGGGAUAAGCCCGGGAAACUGGGUCUAAUACCGGAUAUGACUCCAUGACGCAUGUUGUGGGGUGGAAAGCCUUGUGCGGCUGAGGAUGGGCCCGCGGCCUAUCAGCUUGUUGGUGGGGUGAUGGGCCACCAAGGCGACGACGGGUAGCCGGCCUGAGAGGGCGACCGGCCACACUGGGACUGAGAUACGGCCCAGACUCCUACGGGAGGCAGCCAGGUGGGGAAUCUUGCGCAAUGGGCGAAAGCCUGACGCAGCGACGCCGCGUGAGGGAUGACGGCCUC